rnacentral:lncRNA from 1 species
UUCUUACUCAUGUCCAUUGCAUAAAGGAAAUGCAAAGGUAAGAUACUUGCCUGAUUCGCUGAUUACAAAUCUCAACUUAGGUUUUAUCUCUUUAUCACAACCUAUCAAUAAUCAGAUCAUUCGUUCGAUUAGAACAAUAUAUCAUAACACAUAGUACUGUCUAUUACAGUCAGCACAUAGUCUAAUCACGUCAUCACAUAAUCGCAGUGAUCAUACUUUUAGUUCAUAUUCUAUACUUGAAAUAUUUUUAUACAUUUUUCAAAUAUCUCAUCCAUGCUCUUACAGAAGUCUUUUCUUUCUAUUAUAGGGUCUGACAUUUGUCGGCGUACCGACAGCUUUAUCGGGUAAAUACUGAGUCUAAGACUCUUAUCCUAUACCUCAACAUCUGUAAAUAUCAAACAUUUUAUUUUUAAUCAUUUUCGAAUUUUCCAGAAAUUGAAAAAUUUAAAAUAAUUCAAAUCUGUCACUACCGGGCCUAUAGUGAUAUAACUGUUACUAUAGGUGUUCCUCAAAACUUCAUAACUUCAUAAUCGGUUCUCAAGUCAGCUAGUUUGGCCGGCUAUAACUUUCAAACAUCGGAAUCAUAAUUAAAUGAUUUAAACAUUAAACAAUUCCAUUAUCAUUAAUAAUUAAUUUAUAUUAAACUAUUAAUGAAACCAUUGCCAAAAUAUAAAAGUUAUUUAUAAUAACUCAAACUAUUUUUAAAACAUUUAUAUUACCCUUAAAUGAUUUUUAAAACAAUUAAAAUCAUUUUUAAAUAAUCACCAUUAAUAUAUAAAUAUUAAUGUACUAUUCAUCCAAAUAUUAAAAGUCAUUAAUUAUAACUUAAAAUAUUUUUAAAUCCUUAAUAUCCUCUUUAAAUGAUUUUUAAAUAAAUAAAACCAUUUUUAAACUAUUUAUUUAAUAAUAAUUAUUAAAUAAACUAAAUAUCAUUAAUAUUAUCUUAAUAUCAUUAAUAUUAAAUUAUUAAUGAAAUUAUCCUUUAAAUAUUAAAAGUUAUAUUUUAUAACUUAAAAUAUUUUUAAAUACCUUAAUUUCAUUUAAAAUGAUUUUUAUAAUAUUAAAAUCAUUUUUAAACUAAAUUAUUUAAUAUAAUCAUUAAAUAACUUUAAUAUCAUUAAUAUAUAAUUAAUUAAUGAAAUUCAUCACAAAAUAUUAAAAGUCAUGGAAAAUAACUUAAAAUAUUUUCUUAUACCAUAAAAUAAUUUUUCAUGAUUUUUCAUGAAUUAAAACUAUUUUUAAAUCAUUUAUUUAAUAUUAUAAUUAAAUAAAUAAAUACCUUUUAUAUUCCAAAAAUAUUAAAUAUUUAUGAAAUAUACUCAAAAUAAUUAAAUAUUAUUUUUCGGACUUUAAAAUAAUUUUUUAGAAUUUAUUAAGUAUUUUUAAUAAUUAAAAUCUAAUUUUUCUAAUUUUUAAAUCAUUUUCGGAAUUUUCAGAAAUUGAAAAAUUUAAAAUAAAUCAAAACUGUCGCUAAAGGCUUUAGCGACGCUUAUCUGUUGCCUUAGGUGUUCUUGAGCUUCAAGAACACUGACAAGGCAACUUCAAGGUGCCUAGUUUGACCACGAUUUUAGAUCUGAUCGUGAUGUUUCUGGGAAAUCUAACACAUGCAUCUUGUAGUGCUCAUGUAAGACUACAAUUACCAACAAACAUCAUGGCUAAACAACAUCAGAUCUAAGAGUUAUUAGCCAUCAAAAAGUCUGACAAGACUGUUCUUCAACCGAUGAACAGUCGAGGUGCCUACUUUGGAUCCUUAUAACUUGAAAUGUAUGUAUUAUUUGUGUGAUAUAUCAAUUCCAGUGUGUAGAAAAUAUGUAGGACUACAACUUAAAAGCUUCAUAACAUUAAAACGUCAUAACAUGAGCAAGAUCUAGCCGGUCAAAGUUGACCACAGAAAUUGCUCAAAAAAAUUCUGGGUUCGUGUUCUUCAUCUGUUUCGGUCAACGUACUUUGACCAUGAAUAACUCUUAAUCCAUAAUAGAUAUGGACCUGAUUCUUUCUUUACGUUACAUACCACAUAACAGACUACACAUAUCAACUUUCAAAACACAAAACACAUUAAAUAUAACUGAGAUAUAAGGCCUGACAUUUUCCAAAAAAUAUUUUCUAGACACUUAGAAUAUUUUCUGGGUUUGAAGAACAGCCGGUCAAUGCCGGUCAACCCACUUUGACCGUUUAUAAAUCCCGAUCUACAAUAUCUAUAAACUUGAUUCCUUGUGGAGAUUAAAGACCACAUAACAAGAUACACAAAACAACUUUUAAAAAACAAAACUCAUGAUCGAGCAAAGAGUUAUGGCCUCUGACAUUUGGUGAAAAAUAACAGAAUUCGGUUUUUCCAACUUGCUCAAAUCUUCAAAUUCGUUUACUUUGAUGUUAUGGAUCUGUAUUUUUACAACCCAGAACAUUAAUAGACUCCCUAUUACACUACUUUAAACAAUCAAUUGCAUCAAUUAACAUAGAAUUGAAAGAUUUCAAAAUUAGGGAAUUUCAUACCUUUUCUAGCUUCGAUUUCUGAUUUUUUUUGGCUUUGAUGCUUCUGAUUUGUUGUUUGUAAUGGUUGGGAUUUGAUUAGGAGCUUAUGGGUAAGAGAAUUUCGGAGGUUUGGUCUAGAGAGAAUGAAGCUAAGUGUUGUG